AACUUAUACUGGGAUGUUUGGAUAGGUUGUGAUGAUUCCCAUGGUAAAAGGUCAGUUGCUAAAGGGAUUGCAGACUCAUGGAUCGAUUUAGAAUUUUGGUUUUCCAUAGGGUAAGAGUAAUGAAAAAUAAAUAAAGGAUAUAAAAGAUAAGAAAAAAUAAAAGUAUAGAUACAAGCUAGUAGCAAGACACAGGUUAUCUCAGCAACCGUCUUUCUCCCCGGCAACGGCGCC
rnacentral:lncRNA from 1 species